AACGAACGCUGGCGGCAUGCCUAACACAUGCAAGUCGAACGACACCUUCGGGUCUAGUUGCUCACGGGUGCGUAACGCGUGGGAACCUGCCCUUAGGUUCGGAAUACUUCCCUGACAGGGGUGCUAAUAUCGGAUAACGUCUUCGGAUCAAAGAUUCAUCGCCUUUGUAUGGGCCCGCGUUGGUUUAGCCUGCUGGUAGGGUAAAAGCCUAUCAAGGCGACGAUCCAUAGCUGGUCUGAGAGAAUGAGCAGCCACACUUGGUGUAGGCAACGGCCCAGAAUACUACGGGAUGGAGGAGUGCGGGAUAUUGCAAUACCGGCUGAGGGCUGAUCCAGCACGGCCGGGUGAGUGCUGAAGGCCGUAAGGUAGUAAAGCUCUUUUACCCGGGAUGAUACUGACGGUACCGAGAGAAUAAGCACCGGCUAACUCCGUG
rnacentral:rRNA from 1 species